UACGUAGGGGGCUAGCGUUGUCCGGAAUCAUUGGGCGUAAAGAGCGUGUAGGCGGUUCGGUAAGUCCGCUGUGAAAGUCCAGGGCUCAACCCUGGAAUGCCGGUGGAUACUGUCGGGCUAGAGUCCGGAAGAGGCGAGUGGAAUUCCUGGUGUAGCGGUGAAAUGCGCAGAUAUCAGGAGGAACACCCGUGGCGAAGGCGGUUCUCUGGGACGGUACUGACGCUGAGACGCGAAAGCGUGGGGAGCGAACAGG
rnacentral:rRNA from 1 species